rnacentral:lncRNA from 1 species
GAAAAAAAAAAGGAACAAAAAGAAAAAUUGUUAGAGAAAAAAACAAAAAGGGAGUAAUAAUUCGUCCUUGACCCUUCCUGCAAAUUUAUGCGCAUGCGCGAAUGAUCGUAACGGUAUUGUAGAAGAGCAAAGAGAGAGAGAGAGAGAGAGAGAGAAAGAGAAAGAGAGAGAGAGUGUUGGAGGGGAAGGAGGAGUAAAGAGAUGGAAGUGGGACGGUAUCUUACAAAACACGUUCCUCUCUUCCUACUCGCGUAUCGCAACGUCUUCUUUGCUCGGACCAACUUGGACGAUCCUCCUCUCGUGUACCUCUCGCAUUUAAUACGUGCGAGUAGUGUACGAAGGAAGGGUUCAGAAAUACUGUCAGGCCUUCGAAUUGGCGAACCUUUUACCAAGGCAGCAUCUUACGCGAAGAAGCGUUUCGCAAAUUUGCAGCAUGGAUGAUUAUACAUGCACGUGCACGUGCACAUGCAUAUGCACUCAUACAGACACGUAUUUGUAAGGUUUCUCGCAUAUAACUUUCCCAAGUGUAAGGUAGUCGAGGGAGAAAAAGAAAUAGAAGAAAAGGGAAGGGAAGUGAGAGAUAAAGGACUCUGGUUGAUGGUACGCACAACGAUGAAAAUUAUUUAUUCGUCGUACGUGCAAAAUAUCAAGUUCACUGUUAAAGGAAAGAAAGAAAAAAAAUAAACGAACAAAUAAAAUUCUAAAGACUCGAAAUCUCGUUUUCCCUCGGUUUUAAGCUCGACUUUUGGAAAAAAAAACCCCGUCGAGCUGAAAUUUACUCGCUCCAAUAAUCAACAACUUCAAAGCGUCGAUUAAUGUUAUACGUUUACCCGACGACCAUUUUUAUGCGUUUAGUUUUUCCCUAGAAGAAGGAGAAGAAGAAGAAGAAGGAGAAGAAGGACAACAGCAACAAAAUCUUCGAAA